GUAUUCUAACUUUGGGUUAAGGCAGUAUUAAUGGAUGACAUUAUUAUGACCACGUAAUAUAAUUCAUUGAAUACCCUCAAGUAAACUUCUAAGAAAACUACAGAUUUGGAGCUUCAAAUGCCUUGGUGAAGUUUCUAAGAACUUGGAUGUCUAAAAAGUAACUUGUGGUUCAAAAAGAGCAAUUAUAAAAAUGGCAAAGCCAUGACCAAUCACAAUCUCUCCUUUGAUGAGACUGUGGCUGAUGCUCUAUACCAGUGAUCCAUGGAUUCCCUGCUUGAUUACACAGAACAGGGCAGGAAAUUAUCCAACUUGCAAGAGAAUGCUAGCUGAAAAUCGUCCCAUCUUAUGGAAAACCGGUAGAAAAUCCAGGAGGUGAAAUGGAGAACAUGUUCAACUGGAGAAUUCUAUUUCUUAUGCAUGUCAAAUAUGUUUCCUUCUCCUGCACUAGCUGUUCCUUCUGCUGGAAGAAUAUUUAUAUGACUGGCUAAACUUACUGUUCAGAUCUGAGAGUAAAUUUGCAUUUCUCAGAGAGUUAGUUCCUGACCACCCAACUCAAAGUACUAACACUCUAUCUAGUCCUUUUCUUGUUUGUUUUUCAUGUUUAUUUUAUUUCCCACCACUAGAAUCUAAGCUUUUUGAGAGCCGGCACUUUGUCCAUCUGGGUCACUGAAUCCCAAUGAGUUAUUCACAGAUGUUUUUAGUACAUAGUAGGUGAAAUGCAUAGAUAAUAUUUCAACUAAGAAAGUGAACAGAAGAAAGUUGGUCAUUGACUUAUUACUAGUAGCUCACUACUCUCUAUGUAUGAAGACAUCACUUACUGAUGGUUAUGAAGCAGAUGCUCAAUAAUUUUUUUUUAAUAAACAGGAGGGCAAGGAGCCAAUGUCGUUUGUAGUGGAGGGUAGUCAUGGACACUGAGAGUAUGUUUUAGACACAAUUUAUCAAUGGCCAGCCUCAGGCUGAGAUAAAAUAUAACAGAGUUUGCCAAGGUCUUUCAUGCCCAGGCAGUCAGUGCUCACAUGUUCCCUGUAACUGCCUGGGUACCUUUCCCUGAGUCAUCAGUCCUGUGUCUUAAUUCUUUUAGUAGCACCUGCAUUCUGCUCCUUUAACCUUCCAUCAAUCAGCUCUUAUAUACUGUACAUCUCUUUCUCAAGAAGCCUUGUGCAACGCAUGGUGAUUUCAACAGUGAUGAAUAUUUCCUUCCCUCUGACUUCUUAUGAAACCAGGAUAAUGAAGCAAAUUAGAAUGUAUUUUAACAUCACUCUCCCUUGUUUGCUGUCCAGCUAAUGAACAGUGGACUGGCUGAAGAAAGACCAGCAUGAAGCAGAAAAAUUGUUUGGUGAAAAAUUCAAGAAUGGGCCAAUAUCCAUUAAAAGAUUGAAAGAGGAGAUGUUUUGGGUCCACCUCCACUGGGGACAGAAAUUCCAUUCUGCCAACACCCCCUCCAUAUCCAUUGUCUGAAAGAGGCACUGCUGUUGAGUCAUAAGUAGGCUCCAGUGGCCCAUGUUGACCCUUUGAAAUUCCCAUGGGACUGUCAAUUCUAUCUAUUCUGGGAGCAGCCAACCAUAGCUAAUUACAGGCCUGUGGUAUUAGUGGAACAAGCUUCAGCUUUUUACAUUGGCUUGAUGGAGAACUGAGUAGAUAUAAAAGUGUUACAUGUUUUUCUGUAAUCAUAAUAACGUAAUCUUGUUUCAUAAUCAUUAAUAAUUCCUAACAUUUAUUGAAGAGUUAAUAUGUGUUGAGUAUUUUUGUAAGUGCUUAACAUGCAGUUUUUAAAAUUUUAACUCCUUUUUACAGAAAAGGUUUACAGAACGCCAGAGGGGUAGGUGAUUUUGCCAGAGCUCUUUUAGGUAAUAGGAAACAAAGCCAUAAAUUUGAUCCCAGCUAGUUUGACCCCAUAGUCCAAGCAUUAAUCCCUGAACCACACUAGCUCUGGCAAGGGUAUAAAUGAGCAGUGAUUACUAACUGACUUAAAACACAAUAGGAAUUAUCCCCAGUGAAUUCCAACAUAUAAAGGGACACUAAUUCUUGCCAUAGAAAAUCUAUUUGAUAAGUAUGAACAAGAAUUCCAAGGUUAUCAAAAAUAAUUUCUAAUAGUUUAAUUCUUUAAAAGAAAUGGUGUAUCUCAUGGACACAGGAAGGGGAACAUCACACUCCGGGGACUGUUGUUGGGUGGGGGGAGCGGGGAGGGAGAGCAUUAGGAGAUAUACCUAAUGCUAAAUGACAAGUUAAUGGGUGCAGCACACCAACGUGGCACAUGUAUACAUAUGUAACAAACCUGCACAU